rnacentral:tRNA from 1 species
GGAGAGGUCGCAUAGUGGCCUAGUGCGUUCGCUUGGAAAGCGAAUAUACCUGAAAGGGUAUCCAGGGUUCAAAUCCCUGCCUCUCCG